rnacentral:siRNA from 1 species
GACGCCAAACUGUGAUCCGUCC